rnacentral:rRNA from 1 species
UACGGAGGAUGCGAGCGUUAUCCGGAUUUAUUGGGUUUAAAGGGUGCGUAGGCGGCCGAGUAAGUCAGCGGUGAAGUUUUGCAGCUUAACUGUAACAGUGCCGUUGAUACUGCAUGGCUAGGAUUUGGUUGCUGUGGGUGGAAUGUGUGGUGUAGCGGUGAAAUGCUUAGAUACCACACAGAAUAUCAAUUGCGAAGGCAGCUCACAAAGCCAAGAUUGACGCUGAGGCACGAAAGUGUGGGGAUCAAACA